CAUUCUGCCUAAAAACAUUACUGCAGCUCUUCAUUAGCUCCUCCAGCAGCUUUCUCAGGAACAGGAAUAAAACCCUCCCCUCACUCUUUUUUCCUGCUGUGAAUUUUGCCAGAUACAGCAUGCACUUCUCAGUAGCGUCCAGCUCUAGGACAAAGAUGACAAGGCCUUGUUUCUGCUACAUUCAUUGGGUCUUAUUUCACUACAUAUCUGUAGAGCCCUGCCUUGGGACUGCAACAGUGACAGAUGAAUGCUUUUCCAGUCAAGACACACUUUGGCACACCUCACCACUCUGCACCAUCAGAGGCAUCAGGAGAGGCAGCAGAGAGGGGGGGAAUGAAUCCUGUCAACUGCCAUGUGCCUGCACUCACGGGCCAAAGCUGCAGAGUGGAUCCUCUCAAGGUGGAGCAGCAGAGGGCAAGUGCCUUCUGGUCCUGAGUGUAAAUCCUGGAGGAGUCCCUACACUCUGCUCCCCCUCAUUUCUUAGCCAUCAGGCAGUGAUUCUUGGAAACAUCAGCCUUUC